UAGCAAUACGGGAAGAAGUCUAGUGGCGAACGGGUGCUUAACACGUGGGCAAUCUGUCUUAAAGUGGGGGAUAGCUCGGCGAAAGCCGAAUUAAUACCGCAUGUGAUUAGAGUGGACAUCCAUUCAAAAUUAAAGUCGGGGCAACCUGACGCUUUUUGAGGAGCCCGCGGCCUAUCAGCUAGUUGGUGAGGUAACGGCUCACCAAGGCUUUGACGGGUAGCUGGUCUGAGAGGACGACCAGCCACACUGGGACUGAGACACGGCCCAGACACCUACGGGUGGCAGCAGUCGAGAAUUUUUCUCAAUGGGGGAAACCCUGAAGGAGCGACGCCGCGUGGAGGAUGAAGGUCUUCGGAUUGUAAACUCCUGUCAUUGGGGAACAAUGCGUGACGGUUAACUGCCGUCGCGUUGAUAGUACCCGAAGAGGAAGAGACGGCUAACUCUGUGCCAGCAGCCGCGGUAAUACAGAGGUCUCAAGCGUUGUUCGGAUUCAUUGGGCGUAAAGGGUGCGUAGGCGGCGCGGUAAGUCGGGUGUGAAAUCUCGGAGCUUAACUCCGAAACUGCAUUCGAUACUGCCGUGCUCGAGGACUGGAAAGGAGACUGGAAUUCACGGUGUAGCA
rnacentral:rRNA from 1 species